AUUGCUGCCAAAGUGCAGAUUAUGCACUGAGUACCGUUACCAAUACAGGGGGGUACCGGUACGCAGUCUCGUGGACUGUAUUGUAAAGCUGAAUUACAGCUUGUGUUAGGGGGUUAAGUGCAAUUGCUUCGGUCUUAUCUUUAAACCCCAGCCUAUGUAUGUGGUUCUCAUGCAGGAAACACUCUCUCCUCUCAUUUUUCUUAUCUCUUUCUUCUCUCUCUCUCUAAUGGAACCGUAGGAAGUAGAGGGUGAUGGAGAAGUGAUGGAUUGGUGUUUGAGCUGAGAAAAAACUUCAGCAGUAGGGAGAAAGCUUGGUGGAGAGUGAAUCCUGGGGUGAGAUAGUUAUAUCUCUAUGAUAGGAAGUAUGUUAUUUAUGUUAUAAGAGCUUAAGCUUUAGGUUCUUGGCUGUUUAAAGUGGUAGCUGCCCUAGAAACCUAAAGAAAAAGCUAUGUGGGUGAUGGAUAUUUGUUGGCAAUUGGGAAAUAACUUAUUGGAGCUUCAAACCUGAGAACCUAGAGAAAAGCUGUGUGUGAUGUAUUAUAUGUGAGUACUUGGCUGUGAGGGAGUUUAAAAACUAAGUAACCGGUUGAAACUCGAGAACUUGAGAAAGGUUAGUAUGUUAUUUAACAGGGAUUGAGGUUCGCAGCAGGGAAUUUGACUCCUUUGGGCUGAAAUUUGUAGUCAUCGAAGGUUAGAGGUGGUGUGCUAUAACCUGAAGUGAAGUGGAGAUUUGAUUUUGAUUCAAUCCUAGGUGAGAUUUAUACCUAAACCAAGUGAUUAUGGGAGUUUUGAUGUAAAGGGUUGAACUACGCUCCUAGUUGAUUUUAGAAUGUUUACUAGAGUACCUGGAGGCUUCAGAUUACCUUCAGCUGCGGGAUCAAUGAAAAUCAUCGACUGAUUGGUGGAUUCGACCUUUCUGAAAUGGGUGAAUUCCCUCUAUGUCUUCUUUAGCAUUAUGGAAUUGAAAUUGUUGCAUAUUCACGUGAAUACAUGUUUAUUUGAAUGAAUUUGGGCAUGCAUCAAGAUGCAUAAAUUUGCAUAAAAGGAAACCUCUAUGCAGUAGGGGAGAAUUAUGAAAUGGCUUCGUAUACCUAGAUCAUUUGCUUGUUGAACCUGCAUUACCUGAUAUUAGUAUACUUUUGUAGGCAAGUUAAGUAGGACAUCAUUUACGAAUGAAUGGAUAUAAAGUUGUGAAUACGACACUUAGUUUAGAUGUAUAACCAAGUGAAUGAGAUAUUAUAUGUUUUACUUUUGAGUUAAAUCAUACAAUUUCAUGUUAUAGACAAGAUACUAGAACUCUUGGUAUAUCAUGUAUAGGGAGGGUACUUAUACAUUUAUAUGGAAAUCAGAUAAAGAGUAUCAUAGAUGAUGUUUUGCAUACUUAUGUUGACAAGUUGGUUAUUGUUUUUAUCGAAUAGAAUUAGUGUGAACCUUGUAUUUUGUACAUGUUCUAGUUAAGUAACUAGAAUUGGGUUAUAUAACACAACAUGAAUAUUAUGCUAUUAAAUAUAUCAUCUAGUAAAUGACUAGAAUUGGACAUGAUGACACACUUGUACAGGCAAGUAAAAGUACUUGCAUAAUACUUGUUUACUAGGUAGUGGAGGUUUGUAUAGAACUAUAGAAUAUAUGUUAUGAGUCGCAUGAACACUACAAUGAGUCAUUGAGUAUGACCUUAGUAAGUCACUUUUCUUAUGUAUAUAGGGAGUAGUGAGAGAACCAUAUGUGAAUAUACGGGUAUAACCACUAGAAUCAUCAAUAUGAUGUAAAGCACAUACUUAUAUGAGUCAUACAAUCUGUUGGUAGAAACAUAUUAUCAAGUAGUUGAUAGUGGAUUAUAACUUAGCGUUACUUAUCGACCUGGUGUCGAAUUGAGAUUCCAUGUUAGAGACAUGAUGAACUUGUAAACCUUAUGCUAUGAAUUACGCUUGCUUGCCAAUGUGCUCAUUCGCACACGCUUGUGAGGGUCGCGCCCCACAAGCCGGCACUCCGGAGUUAGCCUACGCGACGGAUUGCUCGCUUAUGUACGAGAGACUGAGCGCCGAAGUGGAUUGCCGUGGGUAGUGUUGACUUCCACGGGGCUAUUAGGCACGGCACGAGCUGAGACCUUACCACGUGUAAGUCUUCCGUUAAUUGGGUUAACGUAAGUGACUUUAAUCUUAAAUGGACAUAGUAGUGAGGAUACUUUAUGUCAUUAGUUGAGUAAACCUAGUAAUGACAUACUAGGAGGUUGAUAUCCUUGUUAGUCAGUAGUAUAGUUACAGUACCAGUAGUACAUUUACACUCUUGUUAAUGUAGGGAAAUGCUACAUGAUGACAUUAAUUAAACUAUAAGAAUAGUAUUCUGCAUGAAUCAUGCCAUAUAGAUGAUUAAGCUGAGAAUUAGCAUGACAUAUAAAGCAUGUGUAUGAUGAAUUGGCAUAUAAGACAUGUUAGUAAAUAUAUCUUGUUGAGGCAUAUUUAUAGUUAACUCGCUUUAUUUAUUUGUUGUAUUUACAUUCCUUGUUUGCUGCUACUUACUCAUGCCUUAGUUGACCCAAUGGUGUACUUCGCCACUCUCGGCGGCUUACCCACUGAGAACUAUUGUUUAAUAGUUCUCACACCCUUCUGUUGGUCGUUUUUGUGCAGAGCCUUCCACUGCGAGAAAGGCUAGGGUUCCUGGCAAGAGGUCAGCGGCUAGUUAGAACCUUCUUGAUGUUAAAUAGAUGAAAUCAUACUAGUUUUUCUAGUUGAGUUCAGUGUUGCAUAGUGGGAUUAUAUAGAAUGUACUUUGUACUUUGCUUCUAAGCUAUAUUAAGGUUUUGUAAUUGUAUAAUCUUAUAAACUUCUAAGUUUUUGCUCUGAUUAUCUGGUUAGAAUAUUAUGCUCUUACUAUAUUGUUUGUAGACGCCUGGUGUACACUUGAGGUUCGGGUGUACAUGGCGGGUCUGUGCACGUUACUGUGAGCUUCCGCUGAAGUCUAGGGCAUGACACGUGCACUAGGUGUAUGCAACCGGCCAACUCUCUCUCUGGUACAACCCACCAGAGAGCUUCAACUUUUUGGUUGUACUCACUCUCCAAAAGCACCCCACGUAAUACUAAUAUAAUGCUUACAAAAAACGUACCCAAAUCCUAAUAUAUUUAAGAUUCCUACUCUAAUUAUAUUUAAAUCUAUAUUUAGUUUAUCUCCAAUAGAUUUAAAUAUUUAUCCUAAUAGUUAGAUUCAUAGUCUAAUUAAUAUUUAAAUCUUAAUUUAUCUCCAAUAGAUUUAUUAAUUCUAAUCCAACUAGAAUUAAUCUACAAAUCUAAUCAACUCCUAACAUUCUCCACCUUGGUUGGAUUUAUAGUCUUCAACCCAUGCGUCGAGCUCACCAUGCAAGCUCCAUCUUUAGCUUGUCUCCUCCGCUCGAUGUCGCUGUAUCCGCCGCUCCGUCUCGAGUGAUUGCACCUCCGUGAACUUUUGGAACCCAAACCGCAUUCGCAUCCGUUCUGACUAUGCUUCCAUUCAGAACGUAUAAGUUCCCGCGCUUGUUCGCCUCGCACACAACCCGAUCUCGCUUUUGAACUCUCAUAGCUCCACCUGAAGCUGAAAAUUCGUAGCCCGUCGAGUCCAACGCGCUUAACGAGAUCAAACUGUGCUUCAAUCUAGGAAUGUGCCACACACUUGUCAGCGUCCUCACGACCCCAUCGUGCAUUCGGAUCUUCACAGUGCCGACUCCCAAAACUUUGGACGUCGUUCCGUUUCCCAUCAGAGCUUUUCCUCUCUUAAUCACUUUAUAGGUGGCAAAAUACUUUUUCUUCGGGCAGACAUGAAAGGAACGCGCCGAAUCGAGCACUUGUACAUCAUUCGAAAUUUUCACACCUCUGGUCGCCACAUACAGCACAUCAAAAUCGAUCAUGUUCGAUUCUGCCGCCUGCGCUGUUGCUGAUACUGUCUCGUCUUGGUUCAUGAAUGUUUUCUCAUUCUGUCGCUUUAACUCCUUCGGAUCAUCACGAAAUUUUCGACAAUUUUGCUUGAUAUGCCCUUUCCGAUGACAGUAGAAGCACUCCAUCUCGGAUAGCGGCUUCUUCUGUCGAUCUCCGAUCGCUGAUAUUCUCGCCUCCUUUUUCGCUCUUGCCACCAAAGUAGUAUCCCGGCUCUGCAUGCCGGACUCGUAAGUCAUCUUCUGCAUCUCGUUUGAGAGAAGCGCCGCCGUGACCGCCUCCACACUUAUGGUCUCCUUGCCAUAAAGAAAUGUGGUCACCAUAUGCAUGCUCAUACGCUGUCGAUAGCGAAGAUAAUAAAAUCAGUGCCUUAUCCUCGUCAUCUAGAUUGACUCCAAUACUAGUCAACUGGGCUACCACCUUGUUGAACUCGUUUAGAUGAUCAUGUAGUCUCACCACUUCUUGCAUCCACAACGUAAACAAUCGCUGCUUCAACUAUAACUUGUUCGUUAAGGAUUUGGUCAUAUACAGAUCUUCUAAUUUCUUUCACAAUUUCGCCGACGUCGUCUCGCUGGCUACAUUGUAAAGAAUCUCAUAUGCUAAUAAUAGAUAAAGCGUACUCAACGCCUUCCGCUCUGUCUUUAUCCAUGCCGCAUCCGUGACGUCCACAGGUUUCACCUCCUUCCCGUACAACGUUUCAUCCAAAUCUUGUUGUAUGACGAUUGCCCGUACUUUAAUUUGCCAUAAUCUGAAAUUGUUCUUGCUGUCGAACUUCUCGAUUUCGAAUUUCGUGGCCAUCUCUGUCGAUCUCUCCUGUAAAUCGGUAACCUUCGACUCUGAUACCAAUUGUUGGGAAUCCGGUACCCACCCCGGUACUGAAUUUUGAGAAUCUGCAACCCACUCAGAUACUGACUACUGUGGAUUCGGUACUGAUUGUUGGGAUUCCGUAACGUAAGCGUCAAAUCGAAUUUUUACCAUAAACCCGUGUCCUCAAGAAAAGCUAAUCAUAAAAGAGAGAAAAAAUCAAAACAGAAGAUAUGCGGGUAAAAUAAAAUUCAUUAAAUAAGAGAAAAUUACACCUGACUCCUCUUCUGCAGCAGAGUAGUUACAACCCGAGCCCUCUUUCUGAAUCUCUUAUGCCCUUCUCCCGUCUUUUAUAAACCUAAAAGACAACUCUCUUUCUCUCUCACAUACACUCGUGCACUAAAGUGCAUGCUACCGGCCAACUUUCUCUCUCUCUAUUAACCCACCAAAGAGCUUCAACUUUUUCGCCGUACUCACUCUGCAAAAGCACCCCACAUGGUGCUUAUAUAAUGCUUACAAUAAAACAUACACAAAUUUUAGUAUAUUUAGGAUUCCUACUCUAAUAAAUAUUUAAAUCUAUAUUUAAAUCUAAUUAGAUUUAUACUCUAAUUAAUAUUUAAAUCUUAAUUUAUCUACAAUAAAUUUAAAUAUUAAUUCUUAUCCAACUAGAAUUAAUUUAUAAAUCUAACCAAAUCCUAACAGAAAAAGCAUCUGGUUGAAUGCCCUUGUGACAAAUUAGAGGGUACCUUUAUUAUUUUUAUUGUAUUAUAUGAAUCUAAUUUCAUGAAUCAGCUUCUAAACAAUAGAAAAUAGAUAUUUGCAGAUCUUAUUUCAUUACCACGAAGCAAGAUAAGUAAAAUUCAAAUUUUUGCGACAAUACAAAAAAUAGUUAGGACAUUAUCAAGCCCACCCAUAGUACACAUUGCUCUUACAAAAACUGCAGAAUUUUAUAAGAAAGUAAAAAAAUAUAUAUUAUCUGUAGAAAAGUAGAAAAGUGCUUGUUGUAUUCUUACAAAUAAUAGGGUCCCAAAAUAUUAAAAUUUACUAAUUAUAUAUAUAGGAUGUGAUGCAUAAUGCAUUAUCUUUUUUUUUUGAGAGAGGGAUAGGUAGCACGUUAUCCGGUUCGUUUAUUUCAUUAAGAAAUAAACUUAGCUGAAAAUAUGAAUAACCUAAGAUAGCAGAUCAUGAUAAUGCGUAGUGCAUUAUCAUUUUAUGGUUUAUAAGGAAUGAAAUUUAACUGCCCUAUUUGAUAGCAGAUCUUUAAAAUAAAACAAAAUUAGAAAUAUGGAAUAGUAAAUUACAGCUUUUCACGAAUGGAAAGACUGAAAUUUUAUUAAAAAAAAAAAAAUAAAACUAAGGUUCCUGUUUCAAUUUAAUCAUAUAAAUUAUUCGUAAUUGUUAUAUAUAUAAUACACAAAUUUUGAAGAAACAAUGGAAGGGUAAUUACAUAUUGUUUAGUUAAAAGGGCCUAGCAUCUUGUAACAACAUAGCAGGAUUCCUGUUAUGUUGUGGCAGGCCAGGUUGGUCAUAGUCACGUUCGAAAUGGCGAGACUAUAGAUAGGGGCGGCAAUCUAACUUGUUGUUCGUGAGCUAACUUGUGAUUGGCUCGAAAGGAGCUCGAGAUCAAAUCGCUUGAUUAAUAGGCGAGCUGAACAUGAGCUAAAUUCUUCAGCUCGUUAAAAAAACGAGCAGAGUACGAGCUAAGAUCAGCUUACUCAUGUUUGGCUCGGUAACAUAUCGAAUACAUAUAUUUUAUAUUUACAUAAUUUAUAUAUUUUAUAUUAAUUUUUAUAUAUAAAUAAAUAAUUAUAUAUAUAAUACAAAUUUUUAUUACUUGAUUUUUAGGCCAAGCUAAAUAUGGAGCCCACUGAAUUAUAAAAUGACUUAUUUAUAUGUAAAUUUUCAAUAUUAGAUAAAAAUCUAAUAAGAACGAUCUCAUGAAUUUAUUUUCUAUAUAUAUUCUUUCUAAUUACUUUAGUCUGUUGUUCAUGAGAGAGCUCGUGUUCGGUGCGUUAAUAAACGAGCCGAAUACAAGCUGAUUUUUUCGAUUUGAUAUAUACUAUACGUAAUGAGCUAGCUCUGAUUCGGCUCUUUUAUGAAAUGAGCAGAACACGAGCUGGGUUCAACUUGCACAUGUUUGGCUGGUUGACACCCUUAUUUCAAUUAGCUUGAGAUUUUAAAAUUAAUAAUUAGCAUCAACGAUCCAACGGUUAUAGCAUUGCAGAGGCUUAAUUAAUCUAUAUAAAAUUUGUUCUAAUAAGAUAAUUAGCUAAUUAAAUAAUUAACUUGGCGCUAAAGCUAUAAAUAAGGAACUCGUGCACGUAAGAAGAAUAAGUAGAGAAUAGCAAGGGAGAAUAGGAAUAGCUAGCCAAGGGAGGGAAUAGGAAUAGGAAUAGGAAUAGGCUAAUUCUCGAUCACGGCAACUGCACCCAACCGAGAGCAAGAAAUGACGCCGACACCGAUAUCAGGGCUCUUUGAAGCGCUGGCCCUCCUCGGCGUCGCCACGUUGGUCGGAGUGGCCCAACGAGCUAUACCGAGAUCAUCAACACCACCUCCUCCUAACCCCUCAAAUUCGGAAGAUGCCCAUGCUGCUUUAGAGCGGAAGAAGAAGAUGAUCAGGAUGAUAAUGCUGAUAGUGGUGUUGGCGAUCUGGGCGAUGAUGAUGGUGAAGAUCCAAUCAGUGGCGAGCCAUUCUGUUCUUCUUGAAUUUAACAUAUGUUUUGGUAUCAUUUUAUACAUUUUCUUCGCCAUAUUUAGCCUUUGAGGUUGUUUCAUGCAUGGCUCCUGUUACAAGGAUCUUGAUCUCUCUGUCGAAAAGAAAACUUAAUUUGGAUGAGGGGCACCUUAUUGUUCCUUAUUUGGUGCUCUCUCUUUCUCUCUCCCUCUCUCUCUAGGUCUCUCUUCUGCCUCUUUUUUGGAUAGAAAUUGUAUCGAAGAACAUGUAAAGAGGUUUCAUUGCAACUAAGUAGUUAGUAUCAAUUCAAGUAAUGUACUCCUACAUACUAAGUUGUUCUUUUGUUAUUCUUUUUUGUGUCCUUCUAUA